GUUUUUGAGCAACACUAAUAACCAUUAAUAUUCAAUAACUUAGAAAAAUCAAAACUUUCAACAACGGAUCUCUUGGUUCUCGCAUCGAUGAAGAACGCAGCGAAUUGCGAUACGUAUCAUGACUUGCAGACGUGAAUCAUCAAUCUUUGAACGCACAUUGCGCCUUGAGGUAUUCCUCAAGGCAUGCCUGUUUGAGCGUCGGCUCCCUUCAAACCCCCGGGUUUGGUGUUGCCUUCCGAAAUAUCACAGUUGUUGCAAUACGUUACUUCAACUUUAUUCUUUCGCCCUCAAAUCAGGUAGGACUACCCGCUGAACUUAAGCAUAUCAA
rnacentral:misc_RNA from 1 species